rnacentral:rRNA from 1 species
ACGGGUGAGUAACGCGUGGGUAACCUGCCUCACACAGGGGGAUAACAGUUGGAAACGGCUGCUAAUACCGCAUAAGCGCACAGUACCGCAUGGUACAGUGUGAAAAACUCCGGUGGUGUGAGAUGGACCCGCGUCUGAUUAGCUAGUUGGCAGGGCAACGGCCUACCAAGGCGACGAUCAGUAGCCGACCUGAGAGGGUGACCGGCCACAUUGGGACUGAGACACGGCCCAAACUCCUACGGGAGGCAGCAUG